rnacentral:rRNA from 1 species
GGUACAAAGGGCAGCGACACAGCGAUGUGAAGCCAAUCCCGAAAAGCCGGUCUCAGUCCGGAUUGGAGUCUGCAACUCGACUCCAUGAAGUUGGAAUCGCUAGUAAUCGCGGAUCAGCACGCCGCGGUCGAACUACGUUCCCGGGCCUU